rnacentral:rRNA from 1 species
GAUGAACGCUGGCGGCGUGCCUAAUACAUGCAAGUCGAGCGAACGGAUGAGAAGCUUGCUUCUUUGUUGUUAGCGGCGGACGGGUGAGUAACACGUGUAUAAUCUACCUAUAAGACUGGGAUAUCUUCGGGAAACCGGAGAUUAUACCGGAUAAUAUCUUGAACCGCAUUGUUGAAUAGUGAAAGUCGGUCUUGCUGUCUCUUCUCGAUGCAUCCGCGCUUCAUUAGCGAGUUGGUAAGUUAACGGCUUACCAAGGCAACGAUGCAUAGCCGACCUGAGAGGGUGAUCGGCCACACUGGAGCUGAGACACGGUCCAGACUCCUACGGGAGGCAGCAGUAGGGAAUCUUACGCAAUGGUCGAAAGCCUGACGGAGCAACGCCACGUGAGUGAUGAAGGUCUUCGGAUCGUAAAACUCUGUUAUUAGGGAAGAACAUAUGUGUAAGUAACUGUGCACAUCUUGACGGUACCUAGUCAGAAAGCCACGGCUAACUACGUG